rnacentral:rRNA from 1 species
GCCUAACACAUGCAAGUCGAGCGCACCUUCGGGUGAGCGGCGGACGGGUUAGUAACGCGUGGGAACAUACCCUUUUCUACGGAAUAGCCUCGGGAAACUGAGAGUAAUACCGUAUAAGCCCUUCGGGGGAAAGAUUUAUCGGGAAAGGAUUGGCCCGCGUUAGAUUAGAUAGUUGGUGGGGUAAUGGCCUACCAAGUCUACGAUCUAUAGCUGGUUUUAGAGGAUGAUCAGCAACACUGGGACUGAGACACGGCCC